rnacentral:rRNA from 1 species
AUUGAACGCUGGCGGCAUGCCUUACACAUGCAAGUCGAACGGUAACGCGGGGCAACCUGGCGACGAGUGGCGAACGGGUGAGUAAUGCAUCGGAACGUGCCCAGUAGUGGGGGAUAGCCCGGCGAAAGCCGGAUUAAUACCGCAUACGACCUAUGGGUGAAAGAGGGGGAUCGCAAGACCUCUCGCUAUUGGAGCGGCCGAUGUCAGAUUAGGUAGUUGGUGGGGUAAAAGCCUACCGAGCCUACGAUCUGUAGCUGGUCUGAGAGGACGACCAGCCACAGUGGGACUGAGACACGGCCCAGACUCCUAGGGGAGGCAGCAGUGGGGAAUUUUGGACAAUGGGCGCCAGCCUGAUCCAGCCAGGCCGCGUGCGGGAAGAAGGCCUUCGGGUUGGAAACCGCUUUUGCCAGGGAAGAAAUCUUCUGGGUUAAUACCUCGGGAGGAUGACGGUACCUGGAGAAUAAGCACCGGCUAACUACGUGCCAGCAGCCGCCGUAAAAC